rnacentral:rRNA from 1 species
AACAGGAUUAGAUACCCUGGUAGUNCACGCCNUUAACGAUGAGUGCUAAGUGUUGGAGGGUUUCCGCCCUUCAGUGCUGCAGCAAACGCAUUAAGCACUCCGCCUGGGGAGUACGACCGCAAGGUUGAAACUCAAAGGAAUUGACGGGGGCCCGCACAAGCGGUGGAGCAUGUGGUUUAAUUCGAAGCAACGCGAAGAACCUUACCAGGUCUUGACAUCCUUUGACCACUCUAGAGAUAGAGCUUUCCCUUCGGGGACAAAGUGACAGGUGGUGCAUGGUGUCNUCAGCUCG